rnacentral:rRNA from 3 species
GGUCCCACCUGACCCCAUGCCGAACUCAGAAGUGAAACGCCGUAGCGCCGAUGGUAGUGUGGGGUCUCCUCAUGCGAGAGUAGGGAACUGCCAGGC